CCUACGGGAGGCAGCAGUGAGGAAUAUUGGUCAAUGGCCGUAAGGCUGAACCAGCCAAGUCGCGUGAAGGAAGAAGGAUCUAUGGUUUGAAAACUUCUAUCAGCAGGGAAGAAAAUGACGGUACAUGACUAAGAAGCCCCGGCUAACUACGUGCCAGCAGCAGCGGUCAUACGUAGGGGGCAAGCGUUAUCCGGAUUUACUGGGUGUAAAGGGAGCGUAGGCGGUUUAGCAAGUCAGAAGUGAAAGCCCGUGGCUCAACUCCGGGACUGCUUUUGAAACUGUUGAACUAGAUUGCAGGAGAGGUAAGUGGAAUUCCGAGUGUAGCGGUGAAAUGCGUAGAUAUUAGGAGGAACACCAGUGGCGAAGGCGGCUUACUGGACUGUAAAUGACGCUGAGGCUCGAAAGCGUGGGGAGCAAACAGGAUUAGAUACCCGUGUAGUC
rnacentral:rRNA from 1 species